UACGUAGGGUGCAAGCGUUGUCCGGAAUUAUUGGGCGUAAAGAGCUCGUAGGCGGUCUGUCGCGUCUGCUGUGAAAACUCGGGGCUUAACCCCGGGCCUGCAGUGGGUACGGGCAGACUAGAGUGCGGUAGGGGAGACUGGAAUUCCUGGUGUAGCGGUGAAAUGCGCAGAUAUCAGGAAGAACACCGGUGGCGAAGGCGGCUCUCUGGGCCUUACCUGACGCUGAGGAGCGAAAGCGUGGGUAGCGAACAGG
rnacentral:rRNA from 1 species